UCCGGUUUAACACCGGCAGUCCCUUCAGAGUGCCCAACUUAAUGGUGGCAACUAAAGGCAAGGGUUGCGCUCGUUGCGGGACUUAACCCAACAUCUUACGACACGAGCUGACGACAGCCAUGCAGCACCUAUCUCACUGCUCCCGAAGGAGAAGCCCCAUCUCUGGGGAUGUCAGUGGAUGUUAAGCCCAGGUAAGGUUCUGCGCGUUGCUUCGAAUUAAACCACAUACUCCACCGCUUGUGCGGGCCCCCGUCAAUUCCUUUGAGUUUUAGUCUUGCGACCGUACUCCCCAGGCGGAUUACUUAAUGCGUGAGCUCCGGUACCCAGGAGGUUAACAUCCCGGACACCUAGUAAUCAUAGUUUACGGCGUGGACUAC
rnacentral:misc_RNA from 1 species